GGCUGGAGUCAGUUUGUGGCAGGCCUUCAGAGCCCAGGGUGUUUUGACAUCAACUUAAGUAGUUGGCAGCCAUUGAGUCAGAGAGUGAGUUGAUUAGACUGCUGUGUUAGAAAAUGAAAUAGCAACGCUGUCUAGGAUGGAUUAAUGGCUGGGACUGUUGAAAGACUAGAGCAGGGAGACCUUUCAGUAGGUUGUGCAAUCAUCUAGAAACUGGAAGGAAAAGGAGGAACGAGCUGCAAAAGAUACUGCUGAAGUAGAGUAAACAGACUUUGGCCACUGGGUGAAUGUAAAAGAAGGACAAGAGAAAGCUGUUGAUGAGAGUGAUCUGCCUGCUCCCCGCAGUUGAGAGUGCUGCACUGCAAGUGUUACCUGGCUUCUGACAUGGGCAGAUUUGCAAAGGUGGUGCUACUCACCAGGAAAGAGAAAAGAGCCACAUGGGAGCUGCAAGUUUGGCAGGCAGAAUACGUAGGAUUGGUUUAUUGUUUCUGCUUUCCAGUAUAGAAUGAUGCAUACCCUCAAGAGAAUCUGCUUGUUGUGGUUUCUGAU